AAUGAACGCUGGCGGCAGGCCUAACACAUGCAAGUCGAACGAGGUCUUCGGACCGUAGUGGCGGACGGGUGAGUAACGCGUGGGAACGUACCCUUUGGUUCGGAAUAGCCCCUGGAAACCGGGGAGUAAUACGUGGAUGAGCUCGCAAGAGGAAAGAUUUAUCGGCCAAAAGGAUCGGCCCGCGUUGGAUUAAGGUAGUUUGGUGGGGGUAAUGGCCUACCAAGCCGACGAUCCAUAGCUGGUUUGAGAGGAUGAUCAGCCACACUGGGACUGAGACACGGCCCAGACUCCUACGGGAGGCAGCAGUGGGGAAUCGUUAGACAAUGGGGGAAACCCUGAUCUAGCCAUGCCGCGUGAUCGAUGAAGGCCUUAAGGGUUGUAAAGAUCUUUCAGUUGGGAAG
rnacentral:rRNA from 1 species